ensembl:lncRNA
UUUUUGUUUUUUUGGCUGCGUUGAGGCACAUUGAGUUCCAGGGCCAGGGCUCUGAUCUGAGGCGCAGUUGCGACCUAAGCUAUAGCUGGGGCAAAGCUGGAUACUUUAACCCCCUGGGUUGUGCCAGGAUUGAACCUGCGUCCUGGUGCUGCAGAGAUGCUGCAGAUCCUGAUGUGCCACAGUGGGGACUCCUUCAGAAUCUCCAUUUCUCUAAGGUCCCUGGGUCUCUGAGGCCAUGACAGUUGAGAAGCCCUGUUUUAGGAUUUGUUUAAGCCCUGUUUUAGGAGUUGUUUAACCUCCAUAAAAAUAUUUGAUAGAGUUAUAAAAAUAAAAACAUUCCUUCAACUUAAAGCAUUUUGGUGAAGGAAAUGAAAGGCAUUACAGUAAUUUAUGCUUUCUGUGCCUUGUGAAUUUCAGCUUCAUAGUUGAGGAGGCCAUAACAUGCAGUUAAAUUCUGAAUGAGGCCAAUGAUUCAAUGGUUUUCCUACAAAGAAGCCUGUAGUAUGCAAGGAUCCACUUCAAAAGGUAGAGUGGGGUGGGGAGAGGGGAGAGUCCCCCUGCACAGUGACCAUGCUCUGUUCCUGGCGUCUCCCUGAGUAGGGGAUCAAGCCUUGGAUGAAACCUAGGUUUUAGGUUUAAACGGAGAGACCAGUGGGAAGGGGAAGAAUGGAGAAAGAGCAAGCUUCUGACAUAUAGGUCAAGAGGUCUAUUUUGGAGAGAGAGGUUUGGGGCACCUAAUAAACAGCCACAUGGGGAUGAACUUGCUAUUUGGAUGUACUAGUCUGGGACUAAGCAAGUUACAAAAGAGUAUGUAUAGGCUUUCUUGUGAAAUAAUUUGGUAGCCGUCAGCAUAGGGACUGCAUGAGAUAAUGAGGAGAUGAAGGAUCUUAUGGAAGACAGUCUUCCAGGCCUAGAUGGCAGAGGAAACAAAUGCCCUUUAGCAAAAAGGAAGAAGGAAGGCAAAGCAAAACUAAAGUUAAAGCCAAAGUAAAACCUAAUAAAACAAGUGUGAUAGGAGUUCCUGUCGUGGCUCAGUGGUAAACAAUAUGACUAGUAUCCACGAGCAUGUGGGUUCGCUACAUGGCCUGGCUCAGGGGUUAAGGAUCCGGUGUUGCUAUGAGUUGUGGUGUAGGUUACAGAUGUGGCUUGGAUCAAGAGUUGAUGUGGCUGUGGUGUAGGCCAGCAGCUGUAGCUCCAAUUCAACCCCUUGCCUGGGAACUUACAUAUGCCGAUGGUAAGGAACUAAAAAGACAAGUAAAUAAAUAAAAAGUAAAAUAAAAAAAAAAAAAGUCUGAUAAGUAAAGAAUAACUUGAAGUGAAAUCUAAACAGAUGACAAUAUAACAGAGCGAAAUGCAAUAAUAUAAAGGUUUAAAAAUUUUGCUUCACAAAAUAGAAGAUGAAUAUUGCAACAGCAAAUAAAACAGGAGUCCAAAUCCAAAGUUCUAAGUAAUUCAAAUGGGGAGCCAGGAUAGUAAAUACAAAGUUUUAUUUCUGUAUGUACAUAUGGAUAUUUUGUACCUUAUGAAUAGGAAAUACAUAGCCUUCUUUUUCCCAAUGGGACAUAAAUUUACAGAAAAUGAUUAGGUAUGUGUCUGAAAAGAAGACACCAAAAUUCCUUGAAGUGAAUGAAGAAAGGAAAAAACAAGAAAAAGAAAGAAAGAAAGGAGGAAGGAAGGAAAGAAGGAAAGAAGGGAACCAUAAAGUUCUAAGUGCCUGUCAAAAAAUAGUCUUCUGAGAGUGUCUGGUGUGGCAUAUUGGGUUAAGAAUCCAACUGCAGCAGCUCUGGUGCAUGGGAAGGUGAGAGUUUGAUCUAGCACCCUGUGCAGUGCUUUAUAGGAUCCACUGUUAGCACAACUAUGACACUGCAGCUACAGCGCAGAUACAAUCCCUGGCUGGGGGAACUUCCAUAUGCUGCAGGUGCAGCCAUUAAAAAAAACAAAAAACAAAAGUCUUCUAACUAAACCAAGGAUCAAAAAUGCAAUAAAAAUACAAAGUUCAAGCUAUUUAGACAUAAAUGUAACAAUCAAGAAUGCUUUAUUCCUAACAAAACUGGGAUGAUGCUGAAUUCACAAGAAAAUGUAUAGCUUUAAAUGCUUUUAUUUAAAAAAAAAAGAAGAAGAUAAUUAACUACUCAACCUAAGGAAUUAAGGAACCUAACAAAAUAAAUUUAAAGAAAAGAAGGAUUAGAAAACAAAAGUAAAAUAAGUUGGCUAGUGACCAAUUUAUAUAUUAGCUGAUUCUAUAAACGUUUACUGAGCAGUGCCUAGGAGCUGUUUUUUGUUGUUGUCUGUUUGGUUUUUGCUACUCCUCUGGAUUCAGUGGAUGUGGCAGGAAAGGAUACACAAUAAUAAAUAGAUCAAAAAACUUAAUGGAUGAAUAACUGAUGUACAUAUUCCAUCCUCAGUGAGAAGGAGCAUAACUCCCUACUCUUUAAGUACAAUAUGGAAACUUUACUUUGCGGAAAAGGGAAAACACUAAUCAGCAACAUUAUCAAGAAGAACAUCAACAGUGAUAAAUCCUGUUGAUAGUGUGUAGCUUUGAUAUGAUGUGGUGAAAAUGGCCCAUCACCACUCUGGGGUUCCUCCCCAAAUGCCAUAACCCCAGUGUCAUCAUGAGAGAAAAAUCAGACAAGUUUCAAGAGAAGAGGAUCCUACAAAUUACCUGACUGGUACUCUGCAAAGUUACCAAAAACAAGGAAAGACUGAGAAACUGUGGUAGCUGAAAGGGGUCCUAAAGAGUCAUGGCAAACAACCAAAGGUCAGUGCAGUAUCCUGGAUGGGAUCUUGCAACAGAAAAAGAACAUUAGGUCAAACUAAGGAAAUGUGAAUCAAGGAUGAUCUUUAGUUAAUAAUAAUACCUUAUUAAUUGAGACCAACUAGAGGAGGAAACUGGAUGUGGAGUAUAUGGGAAUUCUUUGUGCUAGUUUCUCAUGUUUUUCUGUAAAUCUAAAACGGUGCUAACAAAUAAAGUCUAUUGGAAAUUUUAAAAAUAAAUAAGUGAUUUCAGAUAGUGACACAAAUUGUAAAGACUGUUGGAGUUCUCAGUGGCACAGUGAAUUAAGAAUCUGGUGUUGCCACUGCAGUAGCUCAGGUCCCUGCAGUGGUGCGGGUUUGACCAGGGCCCAGGGAACUUCCACAUUCUGUGAGCAUACUCAAACAAGCAAACAAACAAACAAAGGAAUUUAAAACAGGGUAAUACAACAGAUGUGCAUGUGGAGGAAGGGGGAUCAGCAAAGUUUCCUCUGAGGCAUUGAGCUAAGACUCUCAGAAUGAGGGAGGGUACGCCUUGUGAAUAUCUUAGGGUAGAUGUUCCAGACAGAGGGACAACAUCAGAAUAAAAAACCAAGCAAGCAAACAAAGGAGCAAUUACACUGAAAGCUGGUUAUUCAAAAAGACAAACAAAGUAAGCAACACUGGCAUCCUGAGGAAAGAAAAAAAGUGAAAAUACAUAAUACGGAGACAAAGAAAUAAGACAAUGAAUAGGGAAAUAAUUUGAAAAAAUGAGAAGAUUAUGUACAAUUCACUGACAUUGCCUUGGGAACUGAACACUUUUCAAGCAAAAUAUAGAUGACUAAAAGUAAUAAGACUGGAGAAAACAAAAUGAAAAUAUUGCUACAGCCUAUUUUAAAGUAAGCAAAGAAACGGUUGAAUUUCACCAAAUUUUAAGUGAUAAUUAUUAUUUAAUUUAAACUGUCUCAGAAAAAGAAAAAAAGUAAAAAGCUUUAUAACUAACUGUAUUAUAAAGACAGUGUAAAGACAGUAUAUCCUAAUACUGAAGUCUAAUAGACCUAGCAUAGAAAAAGGAACUCUAAUUUUAUUUAUAAAAGUAAAUGUAUUAAAUAGAACGUUAGCCCAUUGUAUUCAGUCUUAUAAUAAACUAUGACCAAGUAUAGUUUAUUUUAGUUGUAUAAGGAUGAGGCAACCUUAAAAAAAUCUAUCAAUUUAUAUUAACAAAUUAAAAUAAAAAUAUAUGAUUAUAUCAUUAUCUGCAGAAAAUCAUUUCCUACAUUUUUGCAAGAAUUCUUGACUUUAAAUAAAAAAAAUAUCAGCAGAAGCUUCCUAAGCAUGAGAAAGUAUUCAUAUUGAAGUCAUAAAUAAGGAUGUCCCCUAUCAUUGCUACACUUUUCAACAUUGUUUUAGAGUAGCUAGCUGAUGCAAUAAGAUGUAAAAAUGAAAUACAUAGACAAAUAUUGGAAAAUACUAUUUAAAAACAAUAAUUAUUCCUGAAAUUGUAUAUAUAUGGAACAUUUAAGAAAUAUAAAAAAUCUCAAACAGUUCAGAGACUUUAUUGAGAUAUGUGAAAAUAAGAUAGAUAUAAACAAACAGUAGUGCUAUUUAUACUAUACACUAAUCAGAAAGAAAAUUAAAAUAAAAAUAUCAAAUUUUUUUUGAGAAAGAGAGAAAAAAAAUACCCGACUAUACAUCAUGAUUUGAUUCAUCACAGAAAUAGUGUUAUUUUUAGGGGUCCAUAAAUCCAGGUAUCCAGGACUGCUGAGGUGCCCAGGUACCAAAGGGACAUAAAAGAAACUAGUACUGCCUUUGGUAGAACCUCAGAAUAUUGAAAUCAUAAUUCCCCAGAAAACAAAUAUCAACAGAACCCAGUUCUUCUGCUAAAUUGGUCAGUCCCACUGCCCAUAGUUUUCCAUGAUUAAACGGGCCAUUCCCAGUUGUCUCCAGAGGUGCCAUGUACUUCAGUGUAGAAUUAAUUACUGUGUGUUGAGGGGACAUGUUAACUACCUCCCUCUCCCGUCUCUGGCCUUUUGGAAGCUGCUGGGAAGAUAAUCAUCUAUUUCCAGGGGACACAGCUCCAAAGCCCUGAAGGCUGCCUCUUUGAUUGGCCUUUUUAUUUCACUUACUCAUUCUUAGAGAAAACAUUCUGAAGUUGUUGAAAAGAUCAUUUGAGAUCUCUGCAGUGGUCAAAACCAACCUGUUGUAGAGUUCCCGUAGUUGCUCAGCAGUUAAUGAAACUGACUAGCAUCCAUGAGCACACGAGUUCCAUCCUUGGCCUCAAUCAGUGGGUUAAGGAUCUGGCGUUGCCGUGAACUGUGGUGUAGGUCACAGAUGAAGCUUGGAUCUGGUGUUGCUGUGGCUGUGGUAGAGGCUGGAAGCUGUAGUUCUGAUUGGACCCCUAGCCUGGGAACUUCCAUAUGCUUCGGGUGCAGCCCUAAAAAGACAAAAAGACCAAAAAAAGAAAAAGAAAAACAACCUGUUGCUUUACAAUGCCCAAAUCAGUGCAGAGAUCCAGAGAAUCUGGGUAACCUGCUUUGUGAGAGGUCUUUUCCAUUGCAGACAAAGGUUUGUAUUUUGUACAAAAAGGAGAGGAUUCUUUUAUUUUGUUUCUUAGCAAUUCUACCUAAACCUCAGAAGCAAAGGUUUCUUCAUGACACUGAUAUCAAGCAGGGAGAGGGGUUGGAUGGAUGCUAAUAAAGAAGAAAGUGAGGGGGAAAAACAAUUUCCUUUAUUACUAAAACAAGAAACAAGGGAAAAGUUGCCCAUGCAAAUGAGGAAAAGAAUCAAAUCCAUUUAUGUGAAAAUAAAAAAUAAGAAAACCCAACUCAAGAACCCAGGGGUUAUUAGUGAUCCAUAACUUUGUAAAAUCAUUGAUAUAAGAGAGGAUUUAUAUCAUUAAUAUAAGAAGGAGAAAUAAAUGUGUUUCUCUCUGAAACAGACACAUGUGCCAACCACCUGAAUCAGAUAAAUAUCCAAAUCAUGGAAUCUAUCAUUACAUCAUUCUUUAAUGUUUGCUUCAAUAUCUUAAAAUUACCUUAAAAAAAUGAAUUUUCUUUAAGUGGCCUAACGUGGCCCUUUGUCACAGCAAGAGCUCAUUAAACUUUGAAAAGGGAACAUCACAGUUUACAGUUGAACUGCACGGCUAAUACCACCACAUUAUCUGGAUCAUGCAACAAACCUAGCAUCAUUACAGUUUCAUGAGAUACAAUAAAAAUCGCUCAUUAAUUAUUCAUAUGUUGUUUCUAGUACACAGGAUUUUAAAAAUAUACACAAGAGAAGCAGAAACGCUGUUACCCUAAACAUUUAGUUAUGUCAACAAAAGACUCAGCUGAGCUUAAAAACAUUGGAUUUCAGAUUUCCUAACAGCAUUGACAGCUUGAGUGCUUUGAGAAUUCCACACCGCCCUUCUCACAGGCUGCUCAGAUGUUCCCAUUGCCUGUCAUUGCUAUUAAGCCAGGGAGAAAGACAACAUCAAGAUUACCAUUCUAACAGAGAUGUCAGACUAUAGUGCUGUACAUCUGAAACUUGUAUAAUAAAUAAGAAAAAAAUUAAAAAAAAAAAGAUUACCAUCCCAUACAAGGACCUAAAUCAGCUCCAAAUAUAAUUCUGUCAAGUGGUAGGUUAGGGCCAAUUUUCCAACUGGCCCCUCUAGAUACUUGCCCAUGAAAGGGGUCUAUUAAUUUCACCAAUAUCUAACUCCCCUGACAGCUCAGUAGCAAAUGGUAAUUAUUUGUUCAUCAGUGCAGUCUCAGAACCUGGAACAAGGCCUGGCACAUAGAAGACAAUAGACACUCAAUGUUGAAUGGAUCAGAUGAUAAGAAUCUUUCCACUUUGUGCAUCUGUAAAAUGGCGAUAUUAUCAUUUCUGUAACUAUUUUUACACUGUUUCUUCUUUCAUCAUAGUGUUUUAAACACUGUGGUGAUUGACC